CUACGGGUCGCUGCAGUGAGGAAUAUUGCACAAUGGGGGGAACCCUGAUGCAGCAACGCCGCGUGGAGGAUGACGCAUUUCGGUGUGUAAACUCCUUUUAUAUGUCAAGAAAAUGACGGUAGCAUAUGAAUAAGCACCGGCUAACUCCGUGCCAGUAGCCGCGGUAAUACGGAGGGUGCAAGCGUUACUCGGAAUCACUGGGCGUAAAGGACGCGUAGGCGGGUUGGAAAGUCAGGUGUGAAAUCCUACAGCUUAACUGUAGAACUGCACUUGAAACUUCUAAUCUAGAGUAUGGGAGGGGGAGAUGGAAUUAGUGGUGUAGGGGUAAAAUCCGUAGAUAUCACUAGGAAUACCUAAAGCGACGGCGAUCUCCUGGAACAUUACUGACGCUAAGGCGUGAAAGCGUGGGGAGCAAACAGGAUUAGAUACCCCCGUAGUC
rnacentral:rRNA from 1 species